rnacentral:rRNA from 1 species
UACGAAGGAGGCUAGCGUUGCUCGGAAUCACUGGGCGUAAAGGGUGCGUAGGCGGGUCUUUAAGUCAGGGGUGAAAUCCUGGAGCUCAACUCCAGAACUGCCUUUGAUACUGAAGAUCUUGAGUUCGGGAGAGGUGAGUGGAACUGCGAGUGUAGAGGUGAAAUUCGUAGAUAUUCGCAAGAACACCAGUGGCGAAGGCGGCUCACUGGCCCGAUACUGACGCUGAGGCACGAAAGCGUGGGGAGCAAACAGG